rnacentral:rRNA from 1 species
GACGAACGCUGGCGGCGUGCUUAACACAUGCAAGUCGAGCGGUAAGGCCCUUUCGGGGGUACACGAGCGGCGAACGGGUGAGUAACACGUGGGUGACCUGCCCUCAGCUCUGGGAUAAGCCUGGGAAACCGGGUCUAAUACUGGAUAUGACUCCAUGACGCAUGUUGUGGGGUGGAAAGCCUUGUGCGGCUGAGGAUGGGCCCGCGGCCUAUCAGCUUGUUGGUGGGGUGANGGCCUACCAAGGCGACGACGGGUAGCCGGCCUGAGAGGGCGACCGGCCACACUGGGACUGAGACACGGCCCAGACCCCUACGGGAGGCAGCAGGUGGGGGAAUCUUGCGCAAGUGGGCGAAAGCCUGACGCAGCGACGCCGCGU